GCAGGCAUAGAAGGAAAGAGGCCUCACUGACCUGAGCUCAUGCAAGUCAGAAAGGGGAAGAUUCCAUUGGGGAAAGUUUCCAAUGGGGGCUGGCAUAGACACAAAGAGGGGGAGUGAGGGUGUGUUUGUGUGUGUGUUUUAAUGUACAGUGCAUAUACAGUCCAUCUGA